rfam:Felis catus isolate Cinnamon breed Abyssinian chromosome X, whole genome shotgun sequence.
GCCUGGGUGGCUCAGUCGGUUAAGCGUCCGACUUCGGCUCGGGUCAUGAUCUCUCAGUUCGUGAGUUCGAGCCCCGCAUCGGGCU